GAUCCAGCCAUGCCGCGUGAGUGAAGAAGGCCUUCGGGUUGUAAAGCUCUUUCGGCCGGGAAGAAAUCGCAUGGGUCAAUACCCUGUGUGGAUGACGGUACCGGAAUAAGAAGCACCGGCUAACUACGUGCCAGCAGACCGCGGUAAUACGUAGGGUGCGAGCGUUAAUCGGAAUUACUGGGCGUAAAGCUGCGCAGGCGGUUUGGUAAGCAGAUGUGAAAUCCCCGGGCUCAAACCUGGGAACUGCAUUUGAGACUGCCAAGCUGGAGUUUGGCAGAGGGGGGUGGAAUUCCACGUGUAGCAGUGAAAUGCGUAGAGAUGUGGAGGAACACCGAUGGCGAAGGCAGCCCCCUGGGCCAAUACUGACGCUCAUGCACGAAAGCGUGGGGAGCAAACAGGAUUAGAUACCCUGGUAGUCCACGCCCUAAACGAUGUCAACUAGGUGUUGGGAGGGUUAAACCUUUUAGUGCCGUAGCUAACGCGUGAAGUUGACCGCCUGGGGAGUACGGCCGCAAGGCUAAAAACUCAAAGGAAUUGACGG
rnacentral:rRNA from 1 species